GACGAACGCUUGCGGCGUGCCUAAGAAAUGCAAGUCGAGCGAGGUUUAGCGCUGACCAAAGCUUCGGCAGAGGUCUUGCUAAGUCUAGCGGCGAACGGUCGCGUAACACGUAAGCAACCUGCCCUGAAGUGGGGGAUAGCCCGCCGAAAGGCGGAUUAAUACCGCAUGUGGAUGUUUUCUCACAUGGGAUUAUAUCUAAAGCAGCAAUGCGCUUCAGGAUGGGCUUGCGGCCUAUCAGCUAGUUGGUGGGGUAACGGCCUACCAAGGCGACGACGGGUAGCUGGUCUGAGAGGAUGGUCAGCCGGAUUGGGACUGAGAUACGGCCCAGACUCCUACGGGAGGCUG
rnacentral:rRNA from 1 species